AAUAGAUACCCCGGUAGUCCAUGCCGUAAACGUUGGGCGCUAGAUGUGGGGACCAUUCCACGGUUUCCGUGUCGCAGCUAACGCAUUAAGCGCCCCGCCUGGGGAGUACGGCCGCAAGGCUAAAACUCAAAGGAAUUGACGGGGGCCCGCACAAGCGGCGGAGCAUGCGGAUUAAUUCGAUGCAACGCGAAGAACCUUACCAAGGCUUGACAUAUACGAGAACGCUCUAGAAAUAGAGAACUCUUUGGACACUCGUAUACAGGUGGUGCAUGGUUGUCGUCAGCUCGUGUCGUGAGAUGUUGGGUUAAGUCCCGCAACGAGCGCAACCCUCGUUCUAUGUUGCCAGCGGUUCGGCCGGGAACUCAUAGGAGACUGCCGGGGUCAACUCGGAGGAAGGUGGGGAUGACGUCAAAUCAUCAUGCCCCUUAUGUCUUGGGCUUCACGCAUGCUACAAUGGCCAGUACAAAGGGCUGCAAUACCGUAAGGUGGAGCGAAUCCCAAAAAGCCGGUCUCAGUUCGGAUUGAGGU
rnacentral:rRNA from 1 species